UCAAAGAUUAGAUCCUGACCACCCUUGGCCAAGCUUCGAUAAGAAUUGCUAACCCAAUCCUGGUGUUGGACCUACCCAUCUAUUAAUGUUGCUAAAGAUGGUGAUCUUAGUGUUGAUGAGAGCAUCGUCACUAACUGGACUUGACAAUAAGGUGACAUAUCUCAUCAGUCUUGUCGAAAUUUUUGUAUUCUGAUUUUUUGGACUGCUCUCACAUCAUGAUGAUGUGACCGUCCGUAUGUAUC
rnacentral:lncRNA from 1 species